rnacentral:rRNA from 1 species
UACGGAGAGUGCAAGCAUUAAUCGGAAUUACUGGGCGUAAAGGGCGCGUAGGCGGCCUCUGCAAGUCGACUGUGAAAUCUCCGGGCUUAACCCGGAAAGGUCAGCCGAUACUGCAGGGCUAGAGUGCAGAAGGGGCAACUGGAAUUCUCGGUGUAGCGGUGAAAUGCGUAGAUAUCGAGAGGAACACCUGCGGCGAAGGCGGGUUGCUGGGCUGACACUGACGCUGACAGCGCGAAAGCUAGGGGAGCGAACGGG